AUAAGUGUCAGGGGGCAAGACAGGCUUAUAAUUUCUACACCAAACCAGAGAAAUGAAAAGCCAACGCAGAGUGUAUCAUCUCCUGAAGCAACAUCUGGUUCUACAGGCUCAGUAGAAAAGAAGCAACAGAGAAGAUCAAUUAGAACUCGUUCUGAAUCAGAGAAAUCCACUGAGGUUGUGCCAAAGAAGAAGAUCAAAAAGGAGCAGGUUGGCUUCCUACAUGUAGAGAGUUAAAACAUUGUAUUUGUAAAUGUUGUGGCUUACAUUCCUGUCUUAAAAGAAAGAGAAACUUUCCCCCACACUGAGUUUCCUUUCUGGACUAUCUUAACGCUUCUGUCCUGGUGGGUUCCAGUGCUCAGUUUUAAUACAGCCAUCCCUGUGAUUCUGCUUCAAGCAUUUUCACAGAAAACAGGUUUCAGGAGAUGGGAAGCCAGUGGUGCAAGACUUAAAAAAUCCUUCACAUUUAUUUAGAAGUUUCUGUUAUCAGCAGAAUGAUUUCAUGUUUUUAUGAUUUUUAUUUGGAACCAUCAUUGAGUUCCUUUUUUUUUUUUUAAGUUUGAUUUUUGGUUUAAGCUGCUGGUAUAUAUUGUUUUUUAUUUUUUAAACAAAUCAAUUUAAUUUAUAUUCUUAUAUUUAAGAAGCAGAUAUUCAUAGAUGAUCUGUUUUUUCUGUUAAUAUCGCAGAUUUUUUGGAAUGUUAUUUUCCCAGUGGAAUAUUCACCUGAUAUCAGGUUGUCAGAUAAAUAAUAUUUAGGUAAAAAAAGGUGUGUGGGGGGGUUGCAUUUUGACUGAAGUGUAUUAAACCAGUGUAAUCAAUGUAGUAAGAUACAUUUAAAUCAACUUUUCAAAUAAAAUUUUAGAAGCCAUUCUUCUUUAAAUUAAACUCACAAUCAGAUUUUUUCUUAAUUUUUUUGUUAAAGAAUAUCCAUUCUUACAGCCUAAACACCUGCUAGCAAACAAAACAAAUUCUGAAUAGAAUUAGUUCCAAUAAGUUUUAUAUUUUUUAAACCAUUUAUAUGGAAGAAUGUGAGCUUUUCUAUUUAAAAUAUUUCCUUCAUGAUUUUAAACUUCCAAAUUUAAAAGCUAACUUUGUGGGUGCUCUGUGGUAUCACCAAGCAAGUGAAACAGUUUUUCCAGAAUAUUUAACUAAAAUUUAAAUAGUAUACUAAUUUGUCAUUCAUUUAUCAUAUUAACUUUCAUAUUUCAUACUUAGGAAAUUAUAUUCCAAAAAAUCUUUCUAAGCUCUUGAAAAUCUAUAGUUAUUCAUUACCAAAAUGAAGUUGUGAUUUUGCCAGCUGGUUCCCAAAAUCAGUCUGUGACCAGUCAGUUUUAAACUAAUAAGCAGAAUGAGUAUAAAAAGUGGGACAAAUUGUUAAUGCCACUGUGUUAUAGUUAGUAGUAGAACAAUACCAGUGAUUGUUUAGAAGAUUUUAUAUUUGUAUUACUAAUUGUAUCUUAUAAAAGCGUUUCUGUUGUAUGUUUUUUUACCUGUUGUAAAAAAAAUAAAAUUUUUUUUAAAAAGCUU
rnacentral:lncRNA from 1 species